GAUGAACGCUGGCGGCGUGCCUAAUACAUGCAAGUCGAGCGAACAGACGAGGAGCUUGCUCCUCUGACGUUAGCGGCGGACGGGUGAGUAACACGUGGAUAACCUACCUAUAAGACUGGGAUAACUUCGGGAAACAGGAGCUAAUACCGGAUAAUAUAUUCAACCGCAUGGUUCAAUAGUGAAAGACGGUUUUGCUGUCACUUAUAGAUGGAUCCGCGCCGCAUUAGCUAGUUGGUAAGGUAACGGCUUACCAAGGCAACGAUGCGUAGCCGACCUGAGAGGGUGAUCGGCCACACUGGAACUGAGACACGGUCCAGACUCCUACGGGAGGCAGCAGUAGGGAAUCUUCCGCAAUGGGCGAAAGCCUGACGGAGCAACGCCGCGUGAGUGAUGAAGGUCUUCGGAUCGUAAAACUCUGUUAUUAGGGAAGAACAAAUGUGUAAGUAACUAUGCACGUCUUGACGGUACCUAAUCAGAAAGCCACGGCUAACUACGUG
rnacentral:rRNA from 1 species